GAAGAACCAUUAUAUCCCUAUAUCUAUAUUGUGCUCCUCCCCCCCCCGUAAAUUUUCUUACAAAAAUUCUUAUUCUUAUUUUGUGGUAUAGGACUUAUUAUGAAAACAUUAAACCGAAAAGUACUGUUUUUUAAUCAAUGGUCUAAACAACAUGAAACCUAGAACCAUCUCAAAAAAUAUUAAUAAAAGAAACUUUAUUCAAAUUUAACGAACAGAAUAUGAGGGGGGGGUCAUUAUGUUUCAUACAGGAUAUGUACCAUUGGUAUGUACUGGUAAUGGCAAACUCAAAAUGAGGGAAACAUUAAAUCCAGGACAGAGAAAGAGGGUGCUCAGAGAUUGACAAUAUGUGAUCAUAAGUGGAAUUAUGUAGAAACUAGAGAGCCAAAAAAACGAUGCACUAGUCAAAAGCAGGGAGUGUAUGAUGCAAGAGGUUUGCAAGCAGAAUACAGGAAAUGGACAUUGUGACAAAGUUGUGCUAAGCUUUAAAUGCCACCCAUUCAAGUUUAAUUCUUCAAAAUCCAACACAAUCAUUGAAGCACUUAUGACUGUUUGCCUGUUUCCUUGGAAAUUUAUUUUAUGUUGAGAUGGUAAAUGCUGACAUUUGUGUGACAUCAUGCCAAGAGUUUUAGCAUGGACAGACAAAAUAGUUGGAGAAGAGAGGAGAAAAGUCUAAAUUUGAACAGUUGGAAGGGAAUGACUGAAAUCGUUUGUUGCAUCCAAGCCAAUCUUCACCAUCAUUGUCUUUGCAUAUUUUGCAAACACCAGUAUUUUGCCUACACAAAAACAAAGAAAUGAAUUUAAAAUGAAUUUAAGUUCCUCAUAAACUAUAUAAUGCUUUAAAGAUUGGUUAAAACAUACUCAUGAAUGUCAUCAUGGCAAGAGUUAAAUAUGAGUGAUAUUAACUUCUCUCUCCCUAAUCCCAUUUUAAGAUGUAAUUCUCUAAUUCCAUUUUCAUGUUAGCAAUUUCACUAAAAAAAUUCAUUAGCA